rnacentral:rRNA from 1 species
GAUGAACGCUGGCGGCGUGCCUAAUACAUGCAAGUCGAGCGAAUGGAUUAAGAGCUUGCUCUUAUGAAGUUAGCGGCGGACGGGUGAGUAACACGUGGGUAACCUGCCCAUAAGACUGGGAUAACUCCGGGAAACCGGGGCUAAUACGGGAUAACAUUUUGAACCGCAUGGUUCGAAAUUGAAAGGCGGCUUCUGCUGCCACUUAUGGAUGGACCCGCGUCGCAUUAGCUAGUUGGUGAGGUAACGGCUCACCAAGGCAACGAUGGGUAGCCGACCUGAGAGGGUGAUCGGCCACACUGGGACUGAGACACGGCCCAGACUCCUACGGGAGGCAGCAGUAGGGAAUCUUCCGCAAUGGACGAAAGUCUGACGGAGCAACGCCGCGUGAGUGAUGAAGGCUUUCGGGUCGUAAAACUCUGUUGUUAGGGAAGAACAAGUGCUAGUUGAAUAAGCUGGCACCUUGACGGUACCUAACCAGAAAGCCACGGCUAACUACGUGCCAGCCGCCGCCGUAA